rnacentral:rRNA from 1 species
UACGGGGGGAGCAAGCGUUGUUCGGAUUUACUGGGCGUAAAGGGCGCGUAGGCGGGCGCAACAAGUCACUUGUGAAAUCUCCGGGCUUAACCCGGAGCGGUCAAGUGAUACUGUUGUGCUAGAGUGCGGAAGGGGCUACUGGAAUUCUCGGUGUAGCGGUGAAAUGCGUAGAAUAUCGAGAGGGAACACCGGUGGCGAAGGCGGCAUCCUGGACCAACACUGACGCUGAGUGAGCGAAAGCCAGGGGAGCAAACGGG